GACGAACGCUGGCGGCGUGCUUAACACAUGCAAGUCGAACGGAAAGGCCCUGCUUUUGUGGGGUGCUCGAGUGGCGAACGGGUGAGUAACACGUGAGUAACCUGCCCUUGACUUUGGGAUAACUUCAGGAAACUGGGGCUAAUACCGGAUAGGAGCUCCUGCUGCAUGGUGGGGGUUGGAAAGUUUCGGCGGUUGGGGAUGGACUCGCGGCUUAUCAGCUUGUUGGUGGGGUAGUGGCUUACCAAGGCUUUGACGGGUAGCCGGCCUGAGAGGGUGACCGGCCACAUUGGGACUGAGAUACGGCCCAGACUCGUACGGGAGGCAGGAGUGGGGAAUAGUGCACAAUGGGCUGAAGCCUGAUGCAGCGACGCCGCGUGCGGGAUGACGGCCUUCGGGUUGUAAUCCGCUAUCGCCUGUGACGAAGCGUGAGUGACGGUAAUGGGUAAAGAAGCACCGGCUAACUACGUG
rnacentral:rRNA from 1 species